rnacentral:rRNA from 1 species
CACGUAGGGUGCGAGCGUUGUCCGGAAUUAUUUGGGCGUAAAGAGCUCGUAGGCGGUGUGUCGCGUCGGCCGUGAAAACCCGCAGCUCAACUGUGGGCUUGCAGCUGAUACGGGCAGGCUUGAGUUCGGUAGGGGAGACGUGGAAUUCCUGGGUGUAGCGGUGAAAUGGCGCAGAUAUCAGGAGGAACACCGGUGGCGAAGGCGGGU